UUCAAUAGUUUCACAUAGAAACUGCAUUAAAAAAAGGACCCUCUAUUUUUCUCAAUUUUUCACGUUAAAGGUUACCCUUUCUCCAUCAGUUUCACACACUAUUUCAUCAUCGAAAAAUUUCAAUUCUCCUCUCACACACAACUCUCAUAAAUCUGAGGAAAUUCGUUCAAGAAAAUGAGUCAAAUCCCUUCUCCAGAUCUCAAGUUCUUCAAAUGUUUUGAGGUAAAAUUGCGAGUGGCUAAAGAAUGGAAAUUCUGUAUUCUUAAAUCUUGGCAAACUUUGGCAGGAUCAAGCUUGAGAACUCCUGGGAAAUCAUAAGCAAAUUACUUUUGAUGUAGUAGCCCAAGGAGAAAUACAGAAUCUAGUUGAUGAGCAUGAUUCCACUAUCAAUUACCAUCUCAGAGAGAAGCAAAUCAACCAGCUGACAAACUUAUUUUGAUCAUCCUUAUAACAGAUAUAAAUCAUGUCUAUUAUACCAAGGAAUUCAGAUGCGAUGGUCAAAAUACUUAGUUAUUAUUAUAUUUGAGCAUUGAUAUUUAUAAUAUAUAAUCUAUAUCUCUAAUCUCUAUC